GAUGAAGAACGCAGCGAAAUGCGAUAAGCAAUGUGAAUUGCAGAAUUCAGUGAAUCAUCGAAUCUUUGAACGCACAUUGCGCCCCUUGGUAUUCCGAGGGGCAUGCCUGUUCGAGCGUCAUUAUAACCCCUCAAGCUCAGCUUGGUAUUGGGGCCUGCCAUCCUGGCAGCCCUUAAAAUCAGUGGCGGUGCCAUCCGGCUCUAAGCGUAGUAACUCUUCUCGCUAUGGAGUCCUGGUGGAUGCUUGCCAUUAAUCUUUUAACUUCUAUGGUUGACCUCGGAUCAGGUAGGGAUACCCGCUGAACUUAAGCAUAUCAAUAAGCGGAGGA
rnacentral:misc_RNA from 1 species